AAAUUGAAGAGUUUGAUCAUGGCUCAGAUUGAACGCUGGCGGCAGGCCUAACACAUGCAAGUCGAACGGUAACAGGAAGCAGCUUGCUGCUUCGCUGACGAGUGGCGGACGGGUGAGCAAUGUCUGGGAAACUGCCUGAUGGAGGGGGAUAACUACUGGAAACGGUGGCUAAUACCGCAUAACGUCGCAAGACCAAAGAGGGGGACCUUCGGGCCUCUUGCCAUCAGAUGUGCCCAGAUGGGAUUAGCUUGUUGGUGAGGUAACGGCUCACCAAGGC
rnacentral:rRNA from 1 species